UACAUGCAGUCGAGCGGGGGAGAUGUAGCUUGCUACAUUUCCUAGCGGCGGACGGGUGAGUAAUGCUUAGGAAUCUGCCUAUUAGUGGGGGACAACGUUUCGAAAGGAACGCUAAUACCGCAUACGCCCUACGGGGGAAAGCAGGGGAUCUUCGGACCUUGCGCUAAUAGAUGAGCCUAAGUCAGAUUAGCUAGUUGGUGGGGUAAAGGCCUACCAAGGCGACGAUCUGUAGCGGGUCUGAGAGGAUGAUCCGCCACACUGGGACUGAGACACGGCCCAGACUCCUACGGGAGGCAGCAGUGGGGAAUAUUGGACAAUGGGGGGAACCCUGAUCCAGCCAUGCCGCGUGUGUGAAGAAAAAGGCCCUUUUUGGGUUGUUAAAAGCACCCUUUUAAAGCGAAGGAGGAGGGCUCUUCUUUAGGUUAAAUACCCUAGGGAUGGAGUGGGACGUUUACUCGCDAGAAUAAAGCACCGGCUUAACUCUGUGCCCAGCAGCCCGCGGUAAUACAGAGGGGUGCGAGCGUUAAUCGGAUUUACUGGGGCGUAAAGCGUACGUAGGGCGGCUUUUUUAAGUCGGACGUGAAAUCCCUGAGCUUAACUUAGGAAUUGCAUUCGAUACUGGGAAGCUAGAGUAUGGGAGAGGAUGGUAGAAUUCCAGGUGUAGCGGUGAAAUGCGUAGAGAUCUGGAGGAAUACCGAUGGCGAAGGCAGCCAUCUGGCCUAAUACUGACGCUGAGGUACGAAAGCAUGGGGAGCAAACAGGAUUAGAUACCCUGGUAGUCCAUGCCGUAAACGAUGUCUACUAGCCGUUGGGGCCUUUGAGGCUUUAGUGGCGCAGCUAACGCGAUAAGUAGACCCGCCUGGGGGAGUACGGUCGCAAGAACUAAAACUCAAAAUGAAUUUGACGGGGGGCCCGCCCACAAGCGGUGGAAGCAUGGUGGUUUUAAUUCCGAUGCAACCGCGAAGAACCCCUUACCCUGGGUCUUGAACAUAGUAAGAAACUUUUCCCAGAGAAUGGAUUGGGUGCCCUUCGGGGAAACUUACCAUAACAGGGUGCCUGCCAUUGGCUUGUCGUCCAGCUCCGUGUUCGUGGAGAUGUUGGGGGUUAAAGUUCCCGCCAAACGAAGCGCCAACCCUUUUCCUUAUUUGCCAGCGGGUUAAGCCGGGAACUUUAAGGAUACUGCCAGUGACAAACUGGAGGAAGGCGGGGACGACGUCAAGUCAUCAUGGCCCUUACGACCAGGGCUACACACGUGCUACAAUGGUCGGUACAAAGGGUUGCUACCUAGCGAUAGGAUGCUAAUCUCAAAAAGCCGAUCGUAGUCCGGAUUGGAGUCUGCAACUCGACUCCAUGUAGUCGGAAUCGCUAGUAAUCGCGGAUCAGAAUGCCGCGGUGAAUACGUUCCCGGGCCUUGUACACCACCGCCCGUCACACCAUGGGAAUUUGUUGCACCAGAAGUAGGUAGUCUAACCCGCAAGGAGGACGCUACCCGCGUG
rnacentral:rRNA from 1 species